UACGUAGGGUGCGAGCGUUGUCCGGAAUUACUGGGCGUAAAGAGCUCGUAGGCGGUGUGUCGCGUCGGCCGUGAAAACCUGGGGCUCAACUCUGGGCGUGCGGUCGAUACGGGCAUCACUUGAGUUCGGCAGGGGAGACUGGAAUUUCUGGUGUAGCGGUGAAAUGCGCAGAUAUCAGGAGGAACACCGGUGGCGAAGGCGGCUCUCUGGAACGCAACUGACGCUGAGACGCGAAAGCGUGGGGAGCAAACAGG
rnacentral:rRNA from 1 species